rnacentral:rRNA from 1 species
CCCAGACUCCUACGGGAGGCAGCAGUGAGGAAUAUUGGUCAAUGGCCGAGAGGCUGAACCAGCCAAGUCGCGUGAGGGAAGACGGCCCUGCGGGUUGUAAACCUCUUUUGUCGGGGAGCAAAGCGAACCACGUGUGGUUCAUUGAGAGUACCCGAAGAAAAAGCAUCGGCUAACUCCGUGCCAGCAGCCGCGGUAAUACGGAGGAUGCGAGCGUUAUCCGGAUUUAUUGGGUUUAAAGGGUGCGCAGGCGGAGGUGCAAGUCAGCGGUCAAAUUGCGGGGCUCAACCCCGUACUGCCGUUGAAACUGCAUCCCUUGAGUGCGCGAGAAGUAUGCGGAAUGCGUGGUGUAGCGGUGAAAUGCAUAGAUAUCACGAAGAACUCCGAUUGCGAAGGCAGCAUACGGCAGCGCUACUGACGCUGAAGCUCGAAGGCGCGGGUAUCGAACAGGAUUAGAUACCCUGGUA